UACAGAGGGUGCAAGCGUUGUUCGGAAUUAUUGGGCGUAAAGCGCGUGUAGGCGGCUUUGCAAGUCGGGUGUGAAAUCCCUCAGCUUAACUGAGGAAGUGCGCCCGAAACUGCAGAGCUUGAAUACCGGAGAGGAUGGCGGAAUUCCCCAAGUAGAGGUGAAAUUCGUAGAUAUGGGGAGGAACACCGGUGGCGAAGGCGGCCAUCUGGACGGAUAUUGACGCUGAGACGCGAAAAGCGUGGGUAGCAAACAGG
rnacentral:rRNA from 1 species